CAACCCGGUUAGGUUUUCACUUCCCCGCAACACCCGAUCCUAUAAAUAAGAGGCGAGAGCCCUCGACACCAACCAUCUAUCGAGAUCGGCUUAUCCCACGCCUCCGCCGCCGCCGAGAGCCGAAGAGCGACACAGCCGGCGCCGCGAUGAGGGCCAAGUGGAAGAAGAAGAGAAUGAGGAGGCUCAAGAGGAAGCGCCGAAAGAUGAGGCAGCGAUCUAAGUAGGCGGCCUCCUGGAGAAGCAUAACCUUUACAUCCUGGCAGCUGGACAUUGUGGGAUGAACUUGUGUCUAAUGAUUCCUGAUGUGUCACAGUCGUUAUGGUUGUGGGAAAUGUGGAUCCUCUUGUGUUUUGGUCAAAUUUAGCUGUUUAAAUAGUCUGGUUAUCUCAGACUUGGUUUAUGUAAUGUAAGGAUGAUUAUUAUAUAUGUUUAUUGACUGAACCUUAAUGCAGUUUAUGAGUUUUAAGGUGCCUGGAAUAUGUUUUCUCUUUGUCUUGGUUCUCUGAAUCUGCGAGUAAUUACUGGUCUUGCAAUUUGUUUCCUUGUGACCGUGUGUUUUACAGAAGAUAGCUUGUUAUGUAUGUUUUGCUGCCACGUUUUAAGGUUACAUUUGGAGUUCAGCUUCAGCCUGAAUUGGUGUGUUCAUUGACUCCUAUAAUUCCCAACAUAGGCCUCAGCCUGAAUUGUUGUGUUCAUCAAAGGUCAUUCCCGGCAGCAGGAGAUGGGCGCCAAUACAAGCUGAAGCCUUCGGUCUCCUUGCAAGCAAAUUGAUGGCAGGUCUGAAUCAAUCAAAACGUGAAGGUUCACACGGUCAACCAGGUCCUAGCUCAAGCAAUUCUUUAUCAGAUUUUUGGCCACUCAUCGGUCAGAUCCUACUGGGUCCAUAACAUCUCUAGGGAUCUCAACUCUCUGCAUCAAUUAGCUCAUAGAGACAAGAAAAACUCAGAAUAGGCCUAUUCUCUCUUGUACACAAUGCUCACAGGAACCCAGUGUCCUCUUCUCUUGCUUUGUACUACAGUCAAGUCCUGACCCCCUUCAGGAUUAUAUCUGUGCCGUGUUGCUAAGCAAUAGAAUUCCUCUUACCAAAAAUAAAUAAAUAAAAUGUGCACGUUUAGUUUGAAA